UGGGGAAUCUUGCACAAUGGGGGAAACCCUGGUGCAGCGACGCCGCGUGAGCGAUGAAGGUUUUCGAAUCGUAAAGCUCUGUCCUAUGGGAAGAUAAUGACGGUACCAUGGGAGGAAGCCCCGGCUAACUACGUGCCAGCAGCCGCGGUAAUACGUAGGGGGCGAGCGUUGUCCGGAAUUACUGGGCGUAAAGGGUUCGCAGGCGGCAUGUAAAGUCCGAUGUAAAAGGCGAAGGCUCAACCUUCGUAAGCAUCGGAAACUGUCAAGCUUGAGUGAAGGAGAGGCAAGUAGAAUUCCUAGUGUAGCGGUGGAAUGCGUAGAUAUUAGGAGGAAUACCGGUGGCGAAGGCGACUUGCUGGACUUCAACUGACGCUGAGGAACGAAAGCGUGGGUAGCAAACAGG
rnacentral:rRNA from 1 species